ACAACAGAUCCUGUUUGAUUUUCCAUCCUUGCUCCGAGCAGGAAUUGUGCAUUGUGGAAGAAAUAUCCCGCUUUGGAUGGAGAAUAUUCCUGCCAAAUUUACAGGAGUUGCCUCUUCCUACGGGAAUAUUCUUCAGGAAAUCGCCUGAGAAGUUUCAGAGGGGUUGCCAAGGAGGAGCUCCAAAAGAGCAGGAAUGAUCUGGACAACCAAGAAUCCACCUGGGAAGCGCCACCGGCUCAUCCUUAUGGAAUCCAUCAAUCCCAGACCCUCUGGGAUCCGACUUCCCGACCGUUCCCACCUGGGAAUUGCUGACCCGGAAGAGUGGAUGGGAUUUAAAUCCCGUUUGCUAAACCUUGGGUUUGGAUUGUUUCGGUCCCGUCCUCCCCGUUGGGAUCCCUAAUUGAAUUACUCGCUCCGUGUGGAGUGCUAAUUAGGGAAGAGCUCCCAUUCCCUGGAUUUUGGCUGAGCCGGAGCAAACAGGAUUAGAAUUCUUCCUCCCACAGCUCGGCAGUGCAAAUUAAAUGUUUAUUCUUUCAUG